rnacentral:rRNA from 1 species
GACAGAGGGUGCGAACGUUGCUCGGAAUUACUGGGCGUAAAGCGCGUGUAGGCGGGUGAUCAAGUCAGGUGUGAAAUCCCCAGGCUCAACCUGGGAACUGCACUUGAAACUGGUCGCCUUGAGUGUUGGAGAGGGAAGCGGAAUUCCUGGUGUAGAGGUGAAAUUCGUAGAUAUCAGGAGGAACACCGGUGGCGAAGGCGGGUCUCUGGGCAGUAACUGACGCUGAGGAGCGAAAGCGUGGGGAGCGAACAGG